GGAAGCUUCAGUUUCUGUAAAACCAGUUGCUAUUAAUCAGGUGGAUGCUGCGGAUCUAAAAGGUGGGAUUUCAGUGGCUGCAGCAGAGUAUGUAGAGAAUGAUACAAAAGAUACAAGAAUGGCAGAAGAUGGGGGAAGGGAGGACAUGUUUGUUGAUUGCCCUGAUGACAUAGAAGGUCCUGAAACUCCGCAGUAUGUAGACCAGAGCAAUGAUGCACAUGAUAGUCAACUGGAAGGAUUGAGCAAUGGAGCACAUGAUCUGGACUUGAAGGCCGAGGUAGAACAAUUGCGCAAAAUGCUAAAUGACAGUAUUGCUGAAAAAGAUCGC
rnacentral:misc_RNA from 1 species